rnacentral:rRNA from 1 species
UACAGAGGUCCCGAGCGUUGUUCGGAUUCACUGGGCUUAAAGCGUGUGUAGGCGGGCGGGCAAGUACCUUGUGAAAUCCCACGGCUCAACCGUGGAACGGCUGGGUAUACUGCCUGUCUUGAGCCAACUAGGGGCGAGCGGAACAGACGGUGGAGCGGUGAAAUGCGUAGAUAUCGUCUGGAACGCCGAAGGUGAAAACAGCUCGCUGGGGUUGUGCUGACGCUGAGACACGAAAGCCAGGGGAGCGAACGGG